CAGCCCUUGACAUGGUCGGACGGUUUCCAGAGAUGGAUUCCUUCUCUUCGGUGACUGACACACAGGUGCUGCAUGGCUGUCGUCAGCUCGUGUCGUGAGAUGUUGGGUUAAGUCCCGCAACGAGCGCAACCCUCGCCUUUAGUUGCCAUCAUUUAGUUGGGCACUCUAGAGGGACUGCCGGUGAUAAGCCGGAGGAAGGUGGGGAUGACGUCAAGUCCUCAUGGCCCUUACGGGCUGGGCUACACACGUGCUACAAUGGUGGUGACAGAGGGCAGCUAGACCGCGAGGUCGUGCUAAUCCCUAAAAGCCAUCUCAGUUCGGAUUGCACUCUGCAACUCGAGUGCAUGAAGUUGGAAUCGCUAGUAAUCGUGGAUCAGCACGCCACGGUGAAUACGUUCCC
rnacentral:rRNA from 1 species